UACAGAGGGUGCAAGCGUUGUUCGGAAUUAUUGGGCGUAAAGGGUGCGUAGGCGGUGCGGUAAGUCUCUUGUGAAAUCUCCAGGCUCAACCUGGAGCCUGCAAGGGAAACUGCCGUGCUUGAGUGUGGGAGAGGUGAGUGGAAUUCCCGGUGUAGCGGUGAAAUGCGUAGAUAUCGGAAGGAACGCCGGUGGCGAAAGCGAGUCGCUGGAUCUCUUCUGACGCUGAUGCGCGAAAGCCAGGGGAGCAAACGGG
rnacentral:rRNA from 1 species